rnacentral:rRNA from 1 species
GAGUAACACGUGGGCAACCUACCUGUAAGAUUGGGAUAACUCCGGGAAACCGGGGCUAAUACCGGAUAAUACUAACCACCUCAUGGUGGAAAGUUGAAAGAUGGCUUCGGCUAUCACUUACAGAUGGGCCCGCGGCGCAUUAGCUAGUUGGUGAGGUAAGGGCUCACCAAGGCGACGAUGCGUAGCCGACCUGAGAGGGUGAUCGGCCACACUGGGACUGAGACACGGCCCAGACUCCUACGGGAGGCAGCAGUAGGGAAUCUUCGGCAAUGGGCGAAAGCCUGACCGAGCAACGCCGCGUGAGCGAUGAAGGCCUUCGGGUCGUAAAGCUCUGUUGUUAGGGAAGAACAAGUACCGUUCGAAUAGGGCGGUACCUUGACGGUACCUAACCAGAAAGCCACGGCUAACUACGUGCCAGCAGCCGCGGUAAUACGUAGGUGGCAAGCGUUGUCCGGAAUUAUUGGGCGUAAAGCGCGCGCAGGCGGUCUCUUAAGUCUGAUGUGAAAGCCCACGGCUCAACCGUGGAGGGUCAUUGGAAACUGGGGGACUUGAGUACUGGAGAGGAGAGUGGAAUUCCAUGUGUAGCGGUGAAAUGCGUAGAUAUAUG